CAGCAGCCGCGGGAAUACGUAUGUCACAAGCGUUAUCCGGAUUUAUUGGGCGUAAAGCGCGUCUAGGUGGUUAUGUAAGUCUGAUGUGAAAAUGCAGGGCUCAACUCUGUAUUGCGUUGGAAACUGUGUAACUAGAGUACUGGAGAGGUAAGCGGAACUACAAGUGUAGAGGUGAAAUUCGUAGAUAUUUGUAGGAAUGCCGAUGGGGAAGCCAGCUUACUGGACAGAUACUGACGCUGAAGCGCGAAAGCGUGGGUAGCAAACAGGAUUAGAUACCCCCGUAGUCCCUGUCUCUUAUACA
rnacentral:rRNA from 1 species